CCUCGAAGCCAGCUGGGAAUAGCUAGCAGGCUUUUAAUUAUUAUUUAUGAAUUCAUCAGAAAGAAAUAUUGACUUCUAAUUAAAGGCAGAAAAUUACUCCUGGAAUAAAUUGAUAAAGGUUCAAGCGAUUCUCCUGCUUCAGCUUCCCGAAAAGCUGGAUUACAGGUACCUGCUACUGCACCCAGCUAGAUUUUUACAAAUUUUAUAAAAGCUAUGAAAAUAUCAACACAUUCCUCGGGUCCCUCUCAUGGUCUUGGAAGGGGGCUGUGCAAAUGAAGGCCCUGGAGUUUAACUCAGUGACUUUCUGGCAAAUCCUACUGGGCUUGAGAUAAAGAAGAGAGAUUGGAAGAUAAAAGAAACAAAAAGAAAACAAGUAGGACUGAGAAACAAAUGAAGAUUGACAGUCUAUCCUUGACUCCACUGUCUACCCAUUACUGUCAUGUGAGACAAGAAGACCUGGAACUGAAAGCAUCCUCCAAGGAAGUGCUGAUCCUGGGCAAGGUUGACAGAUUCAGCAAAUAAAAAUGCAGGAUGCCUACUUCAAUUUGAAUUUCAGAUGAACAAAGUGGAGUCUCCGUGAUGGACAGCAACUAUGGGACAUUUUCUCACCGCCACCCUCCAACUGCAUAGGAAGAAACUUUCAG